rnacentral:rRNA from 1 species
GGAACGCUAGCUACAGGCUUAACACAUGCAAGUCGCCUUGCAGCAUCAUCAAAGCUUGCUUUGAUGGAUGGCGACCGGCGCACGGGUGAGUAACACGUAUCCAACCUGCCGACAACACUGGGAUAGCCUUUCGAAAGAAAGAUUAAUACCGGAUGGCAUAGUUUUCCCGCAUGGGAUAAUUAUUAAAGAAUUUCGGUUGUCGAUGGGGAUGCGUUCCAUUAGGCAGUUGGCGGGGUAACGGCCCACCAAACCUACGAUGGAUAGGGGUUCUGAGAGGAAGGUCCCCCACAUUGGAACUGAGACACGGUCCAAACUCCUACGGGAGGCAGCAGUGAGGAAUAUUGGUCAAUGGACGAGAGUCUGAACCAGCCAAGUAGCGUGAAGGAUGACUGCCCUACGGGUUGUAAACUUCUUUUAUACGGGAAUAAAGUGAGCCACGUGUGGCUUUUUGUAUGUACCGUAUGAAUAAGGAUCGGCUAACUCCGUGCCAGCAGCCGCGGUAAUACGGAGGAUUCGAGCGUUAUCCGGAUUUAUUGGGUUUAAAGGGAGCGUAGGCGGGUUGUUAAGUCAGUUGUGAAAGUUUGCGGCUCAACCGUAAAAUUGCAGUUGAUACUGGCGACCUUGAGUGCAACAGAGGUAGGCGGAAUUCGUGGUGUAGCGGUGAAAUGCUUAGAUAUCACGAAGAACUCCGAUUGCGAAGGCAGCUUACUGGAUUGUAACUGACGCUGAUGCUCGAAAGUGUGGGUAUCAAACAGGAUUAGAUACCCUGGUAGUCCACACAGUAAACGAUGAAUACUCGCUGUUGGCGAUAUACAGUCAGCGGCCAAGCGAAAGCAUUAAGUAUUCCACCUGGGGAGUACGCCGGCAACGGUGAAACUCAAAGGAAUUGACGGGGGCCCGCACAAGCGGAGGAACAUGUGGUUUAAUUCGAUGAUACGCGAGGAACCUUACCCGGGCUUAAAUUGCAACUGACGGAACCGGAAACGGUUCUUUCUUCGGACAGUUGUGAAGGUGCUGCAUGGUUGUCGUCAGCUCGUGCCGUGAGGUGUCGGCUUAAGUGCCAUAACGAGCGCAACCCUUACGGGUAGUUACCAUCAGGUUAUGCUGGGGACUCUACCCGGACUGCCGUCGUAAGAUGUGAGGAAGGUGGGGAUGACGUCAAAUCAGCACGGCCCUUACGUCCGGGGCUACACACGUGUUACAAUGGGGGGUACAGAAGGCAGCUACACGGCGACGUGGUGCUAAUCCCAAAAGCCUCUCUCAGUUCGGAUUGGAGUCUGCAACCCGACUCCAUGAAGCUGGAUUCGCUAGUAAUCGCGCAUCAGCCACGGCGCGGUGAAUACGUUCCCGGGCCUUGUACACACCGCCCGUCAAGCCAUGAAAGCCGGGGGUACCUGAAGUACGUAACCGCGAGGAGCGUCCUAGGGUAAA